UACGGAGGGUGCAAGCGUUAAUCGGAAUUACUGGGCGUAAAGCGCACGCAGGCGGUCUGUCAAGUCGGAUGUGAAAUCCCCGGGCUCAACCUGGGAACUGCAUUCGAAACUGGCAGGCUAGAGUCUUGUAGAGGGGGGUAGAAUUCCAGGUGUAGCGGUGAAAUGCGUAGAGAUCUGGAGGAAUACCGGUGGCGAAGGCGGCCCCCUGGACAAAGACUGACGCUCAGGUGCGAAAGCGUGGGGAGCAAACAGGAUUAGAUACCCUGGUAGUCCACGCCGUAAACGAUGUGGAUUUGGAGGUGGUGCCCUUGAGGCGUGGCUUCCGGAGCUAACGCGUUAAAUAGACCGCCUGGGGAGUACGGCCGCAAGGUUAAA
rnacentral:rRNA from 1 species